CCUACGGGGGGCUGCAGUGAGGAAUAUUGCGCAAUGGGCGAAAGCCUGACGCAGCGACGCCGCGUGGAGGAUGAAGGCCUUCGGGUUGUAAACUCCUGUCAGUGGGGAAGAGAACGGACGGUACCCACUGAGGAAGCUUCGGCUAACUACGUGCCAGCAGCCGCGGUAAGACGUAGGGAGCAAGCGUUGUCCGGAAUUACUGGGCGUAAAGAGCUCGUAGGCGGGAGCGUGCGUCUGAAAGGAAAUCUCAGGGCUCAACUCUGGGGCUUUUUCAGAUACGGCGCUUCUUGAGUGUAACAGAGGAAAGCAGAAUUCCCGGUGUAGCGGUGAAAUGCGUAGAUAUCGGGAGGAAUACCAGUGGCGAAGGCGGCUUUCUGGGUUACUACUGACGCUGAGGAGCGAAAGCGUGGGGAGCGAACGGGCUUAGAUACCCCGGUAGUC
rnacentral:rRNA from 1 species